UUAGAGGGCCAAAAUAAGCUAAAAGGAAGCAU
rnacentral:piRNA from 1 species